GCUUCGGUGGUUCAGUGGUGAGAAUGCUCGCCUGCCACGCGGGCGGCCCUGGUUCGAUUCCCGGCUGAUGCA
rnacentral:tRNA from 1 species